GCAGUUAGAAAUUACAUAUAUCAGUUGCACCAUGUAUAAGCAUGCAUAAUAUUUAUUCAUUCAUACUUUACUCUUUUCAAGAGGUUAGGAACAUUCAACAUUCGUAGGAUCAUAAGCAUGCCAUUUUAGUGUCUUAUCACCUUGCAAAAGGAUUUAAGCUAUGUUCAAAAGAAACAUUGAUGCAUGACAUUGCAUAACUCAUAUACAACUUAAAUUCAUUAUUGUUCUUAUUAGUUGUGGGCAUAUACAAAAUAAGACAGCACCCAAAUUAUGAGGGGAAUUUAACUAAGGGUUCAGCAUAUCGUCUUGAAUCUUGCUGAAUUUUGCCCAUAGUGACAUAUGUUCACAAUUCAAAUAAUAGUUUGCAGCCUAGCAAGAAUUUCGAAACAAUUUUAACAUGCAAAUUUUAGUAGACAAUCAGAGCUUUAACAUGGUUGUGGUUUUGGGGUAAUUGGACUCCAUUUGGUCAGCCAAAAUUCAUGGAAAUAGAGAUCAAAAUUCAUAGUUUCUAUGAGAUCUGUCAAUAGUGACAUAUUAGGGAAUUUUUGAGCAUAGC
rnacentral:lncRNA from 1 species